AAAUCAUUAAAACUUUCAACAACGGAUCUCUUGGUUCCGGCAUCGAUGAAGAACGCAGCGAAAUGCGAUAAUUAAUGUGAAUUGCAGAAUUCCGUGAAUCAUCGAGUUUUUGAACGCACAUUGCGCCCCCUGGCAUUC
rnacentral:rRNA from 1 species